AUGAGAUUAAGUUAUUGAGACUAAGCGUUUUCAAAACGCUCAGAGACUUUUGUCAUCUUGUG
rnacentral:tRNA from 1 species